rnacentral:lncRNA from 1 species
AAGACCUCUAGCAAAGAAGAGGGCUAAAGAGAGCACAGAGCAAUGGCUUCCUCCAUGAUUUCUUCAGCUACCGUGGCUUCGGUUUACGCUGACCGUGCCGCCCCGGCACAAGCUAGCUUGGUUGCACCAUUCACUGGCCUCAAGUCUGCCUCAGCUUUCCCCGGCGCCAAGAAGACCAAUGACAUCACCUCCAUUGCAAGCAAUGGUGGAAGAGUGCAAUGCAUGAAGGUAAGACUACUUAUCAACAUGUUGCUACAAUUAAUUUACAUUCAAAACAAUAUACCCAAAUGCAUGUUGAAGUAACUACUUCACGAGGAACCGAAAUACAUAACUUGUGAAUAUACAAAUGAAUUGUCUGAAUUACAGUCUGAUAACUUAACAUGUCGUAAAAAAAUACAAUUUUUUUCAUAAUCGUAGCAUAUUUACAUACCCACUAUUAACUAUAAUUAAAGAAAAUGUAGUUUAUUUCCAAGCUUACCAAUCCUUUCGUGUGCUUCCUGGCCGCUAAUUAGUAAUAGUUCCUCUAUUUUUUUGGCCAAGAAGGUACUAAUCGAAGUACUAGAACAUCGAUUUAUCGAAUAUUUUGAUUGAUACAGGUGUGGCCUACAGUUGGACUGAAGAAGUUCGAGACUCUCUCCUACCUUCCACCACUCUCUCCUGAGUCUUUGGCCAAGGAAGUAGACUACCUUCUCCGCAAGAACUGGGUUCCCUGCUUGGAAUUUGAGUUGGAGGUUAAUAAUUUCUUUUUAUAAACUUAUUUAUAUAUGUUAGCUUCAUGUAAUAUUUGUUUGCUGACUUAAUUUUCUUGAACAAAAUUGUGGUUUUAUAGAAGGGAUUUGUGUACCGUGAGAACCACAGGUCACCAGGGUACUAUGAUGGAAGGUACUGGACCAUGUGGAAGCUGCCCAUGUUUGGAUGCACAGACUCUUCCCAAGUGUUGAAAGAGCUCGAGGAGGCCAAGAAGGCUAACCCCAACUCUUUCAUCCGUAUCAUCGGAUUCGACAACGUUCGUCAAGUGCAGUGCAUCAGUUUCAUCGCCUACAAGCCUGCAGGCUACUAAUUUCAAGUUUCAUGAUUUUUAUUUUAUGUUGUUUGUGGCUUGUUAGCCAAGGGUCUCGGUGGUUUGUUUAAGUCUGUACUUAAUUAGGCCUUUCAAGACCUUUGUUGGUUUCUUUUCUUUCCCUUUUUCGAGACAAUUUCCUUUGUUUUCGAAGUUGGUGUUUUUCGGAUUCAUAAUGUGGUGGUGUUGAGAAUAUUCAUGAAUAAAAUGAUAUCCGUAUUUUAUUUUCAGUCCGAAUAAAGCUACAUGUAGCAUGUUUAUUAAUUACAUUACUAAUUACAUCUCUCAUCUCUUACUAAGACAUACACUCACGCACAUGUUUAGAGGUGUGGUGAACAAUGUUAUUGGUAAUAAUGUAAUAAUAGUUUUAUUGUUUUCUAAUUAGGAUUUUAAUUCAGUUUCUAAUUUCCUUUAUGAGUUUGGGAAUGUACACAGAUGAUGGUGAAUUAUACUGGGGAAAGUUGAAAUUUGUUCUGAAGAUUACUCAAGGUGAAUAAGAUCUCUUCAAUGAUUUUCUCAAAAAUACUUCUCUUAAAUGCAAUUGUUCAUGAAAACAAUUCAAGUUUGAUAGCCAGAUAAGUAACUAAAGUAAGUAUAAAAUUAAAAAUUACCAACAAAUUGCAGUAUUUGUAUGUACCCAAAAGGAAAAAACAAAAGCUUUCUCAAGUCUGUUUAAAUUGGAUAUAUUCAAACAAGAUAUACAACUUUUUAAGUUCAAUUUUACGUUUUCUAUUGAAGCAUGAGCUUAUAACUAAGCAGAACAUUAAAGUCGUUAACCACGUCAUAAGCCUUCAGGUUAUAGAUGGGUACCAAAUUACAAAAUCACAACAUAAGCUCAGUCCCAUUUUGAUGGCACAUUUUUUGAGCCAGAAUUCAGCUACUAAUUGCUAACUUAAUUUUUGCAAUAUUUCUUUAUUUUUAUUUUGAAAUUCAAUAAAACCUUCUUCAAGCACUUGCGCUUCUAUCAAUUUCGUAUCACACAUUUUUUCAAUUGACCGACUAGUUUUCUUGGACCCUAGAUAGCUACACUUAUGGACAUGCAUUUCUCCAGAUAAAGAAAAAGAUAAGCUGGGUCAUUUCAAAGUCGCCGCACUAAAAUUACAACUUUACCCUAAACCCUAUAUUCAUAUCCACACAGAAAUUUCGAAGCUGGCUUCCAACCGUGUUUUGUGUUUACACGAGCUUGAUGACGACCCUCUAGAUGAAAUUAGUGAUUUGUUAAAGAAUGAAUCAAUCUGGUGUGAAAUGACCAAAGUCAGUUGUCAUGCAAAGCCAGAAGAAGAAAAAAAAUAAUGGACAAUCAUGUUAAAAUAUGAAAAUUAUGAGAGAACUAUGAGAGAAUAUUUGUUUGUGGGAAUUUUCUGUGUAUUCUUCUCCUUGUAGGAGGUCUUAUUUAUAAUACAACGAAACCUGAAUGGACAAGUAAAUAAUAAAUUCCUAAAUCUAUUUACAGUAAAAAAUCAUGAAUUAAAGUAAAUCAAUUACAAUUAUAAUAGGAAUUCUUGGUGUGUAAGGAAAGUAAGUCAAUAUCCACAAGUCACGCCAACACUCCCCCUCACGUUGGUGCAUAGAUGUCGCUAAUGCCCAACUGAUCCAGUGAAUUGUGGAAUGUUUUACUGGAAAUCGCCUUUGUCAAAAUAUCUGUCAAUUGAUCCUCGGAUUUCACAAAAGGAAACUGAAACACUUUAGCCUCAAGCUUCUAUUUGAUGAAGUGUCGAUCCACCUCAACAUGUUUAGUACGAUCAUGCUGAAUCGGAUUCUGCGCAAUGGUUAUAGCAGCCUUGUUGUCACAAAAGAGAUUCAUUGUGGAUGUAGGUUUAUACCUAAGUUCAGUAAGCAACUUUCUUAACCAAAGAAGUUCACAAAUCCCUUUAGUCAUGCCUCUGAACUCGGCUUCUGUACUGGAUAAAGCUACUACAUUCUGUUUCUUGCUUCUCCAUGUCACCAAAUUACCUCCCACGAAUGUGAAGUAACCCGAUGUGGAUUUUCUAUAUGUUACAUUACCUGCCCAAUAUGCAUCUGAAUAACCAUCAAUAUUUAGAUGACCAUGCUUUGAGAACAUAAGUCCUUUUCCAGUUGCAGACUUCAAAUAUCUAAGUAUCCGAAGAACUGCAUUCAUGUGGUCUUCACUUGGAGAGUGCAUAAAUUGACUGACAACCCUCAUCGCAUAAGCAAUGUCUGGUCGAGUAUGUGACAAAUAGAUCAAUCUUCCCACUAACCUUUGGUAUCUUUCUUUGUUAGUUGGAACUUGAUCCGGAUAUUCUCUAAGAUGAUGAUUCUGAACAAUAGGAGUGUCUGCAGGUUUACAAUCUAGCAUUCCUGUGUCUGUCAACAAGUCCAAGACAUAUUUCCUUUGAGAGAAAAAUAUGUCUUGCUGCGAUUGAGCCACCUCAAUUCCCAAGAAAUACUUGAGUCUACCUAGAUCCUUCAUCUCAAACUCCGUAGCCAGAUAGUCUUGUAGCUGUGAUAUUUCCUGUUUAUCAUUCCCAGUAAUAAUCAUAUCAUCAACAUAGAUUAUUAAUGUUGUUACCUUCCAUUUUCAAUGUUUCAAGAACAGAGUAUGAUCUGAGUUGCACUGUUUGAAACCAUUGUUCUUCAUUGCCAUAGUGAACCGUCCAAACCAUGCACGUGAUGACUGUUUCAAUCCAUACAAUGGUUUAGUGGCUUACCACGAUUUUGCCUGAAAGGUAAUUGAUAUCCAAUAGUUUUAUCAUCUAAAUGCACAAGUCUAGAAGGAGUAGUUACCUCAAGGAUAUUCUCAGAAGAUUGGUCUGUUGGUACUGUUGAGUUAGAGGGGGGUCUUCAUCUUGUUGUUUUGUAUUGUCUGUAGGUGUGAGACUCGGAUCAGAAGUUUCUUCGCAUGGAUCAGGUGGGUUAGGCAAUUGAUCGCUAUGAAUGGGCAAUUGGUAGUUUUUCGACAGAGAGUAAUCUCAUGCUCCAGACUCGGGAUGAUCAAUCAUUUCUGUACAGAGGAGAAUUUCUUUGUUUUUCAAGUUGCUCUAAUUCUGCUCUUCACUUUGUAUCUCCCCCUGAAGCGUAGAAUUGGAUGAUGGGUCAUGGAAGAACAGCUCAUAUUCUAGAAAGGUCACAUCCAAAGUAACAUAGGUUUGUUGGGUAGGAGGGUGAUAACAGCGGUAGCCUUUCUGAUGAGUGACAUAACCCACAAAAGCACAACGAAGCGCAUAGGGAUCAAGUUUGCUACAUUGAUUUUUGUGGACAUGAAUGAAAGCCACACAUCCAAAGAUUCGGGGUGUGAGUACCAAAACAGAGGGCAGAGGUCUGUGUUACGCAAGCACUUGUAAGGGAGUUUUAAAGGUCAAUACACCAGAAGGCAUGCGGUUGAUCAGGUGAACUGCGAUGAUAAUAGCAUCAUCCCAGUGAUGGUGAGGAACAUGAGCGCCAAUCAGAAGUGCUCGAGCAGUUUCAAGAAAAUGUCGAUUCUUUCGUUCAGCAACACCAUUUUGUUACAGUGUCUGAGGACAAGUCGUCUCAUGGAUAAUUCCAUAUUGUUGAAGGUAAAUCUGAAAGUCAUGAUUGACAAAUUCUCCACCAUUGUCUGAGCGAAGAAUCUGGAUUUGAGCAUUAAACUGGGUUUUCAUCUGUUUGUGGAAGGACUGAAAACCGGAAAACACUUCGUUUUUAUUCUUCAGCAAAUAAAGUCAUGUCAUCCCUGUACAAUCAUCGAUGAAUGUGACAAACCAUCGAACACCAGAAGGAGCAGUGAUAGGCGAAGGUCCCCAGACAUCAGAGUGAAUUAACGUAAAUUGAGUAGUACACUUGUUCGUACUCAAUGAGUAAGGCACACGGUGACUCUUGGCCAAAAUACAAGUAUCACAUAUGAAGUCAGAGUCCUUGAAACCUGAGAAUAAAUCUGGUAUAAGAUGCUUCAUAUAACUAAAAGACGGAUGUCCUAAUCGACGGUGCCACAACUAGAUUUACUUUUGUUUGCUAUCAAAGGGAUGUGUCACACUGUUAGCCAUGCCGGGACUGAAGUCAUUGACAUAAUAUAGCCCCCCUUUCUUAGUACCACGACCAAGAAUCUCUUUAGUGUGAAUAUCCUGAAGCAAACAAAAACUCGGGUAAAUGAGUACACAACAAUUCAAUUGUUCAGUAAGCUGACUAACUGACAACAAUUUAGUGGAUAAAGAUGGAACAAGUAAAGUAUUAGACAGUGUGAGAGAGGAUGAGAGUGCAACAGUGCCAGCCCCUGUCACAGGAUAAGUAACACCAUUGGCAUUUGCAAUACAGGUUCGUCGAGGUUGUGUAGUAUUCAGAAAAUCAUCAGGAUCAAACGUCAUAUGAUCAGUUGCACCGGAAUCAAUUAUCCAGCUCCUAGAAUCAAUCUUAUCGGAAGUAUGGAAUCCAUAACCAGUACCAUUACUGGUCAUAUUGCAUUGUACUUGAUCUGUAAGAUAGCCCACCAAUCGGGAUAGCCAUGCAAUUUAAAACAAGUCUCACAAGUGUGUCUCGGAUCACCACAAUAUGUGUAAUCUGGUCCAUGUGUCGGGGUCGUUAGUCGAGAAGUCAUAAUCUGUGCAGGGAAGAUACAUAGGAUACAGGUUGAAUAGGAAUUUGGAUCGGAAUCUGAGCCUGAGUCGGGGCAGGAGUCGGAGUCGAAAUCGAGAUUGGGGUCUAAAUCAGAGACAAAUUCAGGGUGGGGGUCAUCAUCUGAGUGGGGGUCGGGGUCGUCUUCGUAGUCGGGGUCGGGGUCAGGGUCGUCAAAAGAUGAUCCUGAUUCUGGAUCGGGUUCAGGGUCAAAGUCUGUAUCUGUAGGAGCUAAGCCAUCUAGCCACUCAACUCAACGAUGGUUGGUUGAGAAUGAGAGAAGGAGUCGGUGGUGCUACCUCCAUGAGGGUUGAAAAAAUCAUCGACCCCCAUAGCGGCGGCGGGGGUUUGAAGCUAGAGUCAGCAAUUCCAAAAUUUGGCUCUGAUACCAUGCUAAAAUAUGAAAACUAUGAGAGAAUAUUUGUUUGUGGGAAUUUUCUAUGUAUUCUUCUCCUUGUAUGAGGUCAUAUUUUAUAAUACAACGAAACUUGAAUGGACAAGUAAAUAAUAAAUUCAUAAAUCUAUUUACAGUAAGAAAUCAUGAAUUAAAGUAAAUCAAUUACAAUUAUAAUAGGAAUUCUUGGUGUGUAAGGAAAGUAAGUCAAUAUCCACAAGUCACGCUAACAAAUCAUUGUGUUAAAUUAAUUAUCCAAAUCGUUCAAUCUUUAUGUUUUUUUUUAAUGAUUAUUCAUGUAAAAAAUAAACUAAAUCGGAAAUUGUUUAGACAUUUAGGUACGUAGGAUGUGUGCACUUUUCUUACAUGAAAUAUAGGAAUUGAAAGAAACCCAACUGUUUUAAUCCAAAGGGAAGGCUAAAUCUCAUGAAACCAAAAAGAAAAAGAUUUGUGUACGAAUCGAAGGAAAUAAAUGAAAAUAUGCUUGAAAGAAGUAAUCUUACAACAGGAAUGAAUAUCAUGGGGAAUGAAUAAACUUCACAAUACUCAAAGAAAAUCUCAUUGUGGUGUGAAACUUAUUCUGUCCUCAACGGCUCAUUUCUGAUGUUUUCCAAGAUAUAGUAGCCUGAUCUAUUUAUAGUGAAAUAUGACAAAAUUUCCAACAAAAUUAUGGAAACAUAAUUAAUUGUAUCCACUAUUGGGAUAUUUUUUACAUAACAUUUAUAAAUUUUCCUAUAAAAAAAAUAAUAUUUAUAAAUUUGAUAAAUAUACCUAGAUGCGAAUGUUACGAUGUUGCAAAAUUAAAAUUUUUCCCAUAUUUAAAAAAUUCAUGUUAUUCACCAACCACCAUAACUCUAGUGGCAAGUGUACUUAUUAAUAGGAAUGAGGGAAGUUAUGAAUCAGGAAAAUUAAGAAAGGGAAUGAGGAAUUGAAAUUGAAAUCGGAUCAACUACUCCUCUAGUUGAUUUGAUUUCUAAUUUUAAAGGUAUUUGAUGAUGAAUUUUAACAAUAUUGAGAAGCUGAAGUUCUAACAAUUAAAUGGACAACCCUUGAUGUAUUAUUACAAGUCGUGGUAUACCACAUAUUUCUUUGGCAUAAGAAAAUGAUGAAGCUUGAUUUUAUCACACCUCAAGAAGAAAUAUAUUUUGUGAAUCUUGGUUGUUAAAGAUUCACCGUGAAAUGAAUAAUAUCAUGAUAAACCUUAAAGGAUGAAAUGAGACUCCCCAUAUUUUGUUAUAUUAUAUGAUCUGGGCCGAAAGCCCAUGGAUCCCAAUAUGUCAAAAAUCCCAAACCUGAAGUUUUGGGUAUAUAAUAGUUCAUGCUCUUCACUACUAUAUUGCAAUAUUAUCAUGGCUUUUCCUCAAUUUAUAUUUCAUGCCUAUUUGAAAAAGGCAAUUAAAUUAUGAGGUUGUAUUUAACCCGGGCCAGAAGUUCCUGGCACACAUGCGUUGAAAUAUAUAAUUUGAGAGAUUUAAUGUGAUCAUUUUGAAAAGACGUACAGGUGCAAGUUUAUGAAUUUGCCCAAUUAUUAUUAACAGAAAGAGAGUAUACAACAGUUAAAUUGUUUUCAUCUGCAAGAAAUAAAGCAGACUUUGUAAAAUCUAUCAAGCUACAUUAUGGCUUAGAAGUUCCGGAAGAAAGAGAACAUCGCCUCUUGAGCUUAGACAUGAGCCUUUCUUGGUCUUUUAGAAUCUUUUGAUUGGAAAUCUGCAACAUGUCGAAUUUUGUCUACGUAUCUAUUGAGUAUGAACUCACCAGUUUAAACAAAGUUUUAUUUUCCUUUUUAAGGUUUUCAACCUCUCGCUAAGAAUUAUGAAGCAUUCUCCGAAGAGAUGAAUUUUCAGUCUUCAGCUCCUAAAUCUUGUUUGCUUUGGCAAGCAAAUGAUGAGCCAUGUUAGAAACAAAAGCAGCACUCUGAAUGCUAAAAGCCAUUGAGUCAUCAAUAACCUUUUUGUCAAACCUUCCCAUUAAUAAUAUCUCAUCCAUUGGAGUAAGGAAAUUCCUAGCUACUAUGAUAGCAGUUGUAUCAUUCAUCAUAACAGAAUCAUUAACCGUGGGAUGACGAUUUUGGGAUACAAAGGAUGGACGCUAGACUUUGGCGUCAUGAGUUGUUUUAGGAGCAAUAUUUAAAUUGAAAUGUUUUGGGCGAGAAGAAGAGGAAGUCAUUUUAAAGGUUUCGAGGAAAGUCUUAGAAAAGCUAAACUUUCAGAAAAUGGAAGGAAUUUGAGUUAUUCCAAUUAGGUCAUACAAAGACAAUAUCUAUAAGUAAAAAUGUGGCAAUAUUUCUAGGAUCCCAAUAUUUCCUUUUACUUUUCCAAAUUCCAAAACUUCACGUGGCUUUCAUUAAUGUCUGUCGGCACUUUAAUAGUUUCAAGGACUAUUUUUGUCAAAUUGAUCUUCCUUUUAUGGAUUUCACGGUGUCACUUUUUCAAAAGUGUCUCGAGAACUUCAAAAGUUUUUGUAGUUAAUUUGAAAUUUAACAUCUCACACUAUUCCUUUUCUUGUGUAUAAAUAUGUUACUAACAAACUUCAUUGCAGAUCACAUCUUAUCCAAAUGAUAGAAUAUCAACUUGUUUUUCCUAUUAGCGAGCGCUUGAUGUGCUUGAGAAGCGAAACUAUCUCUGAUCAUUUCUUUAGGAAGCGAGACUAUCCCUAAUCACGCCUCCUGUGAUCUCAAGGGACUGUAGGGCAGUUAAGAACGAGCACAUCGCUCUAAUCUCCUGAAGUUCUCCUAGGCUAGGAGAAAUAAGAGUUUGUUGUCUGUUACCUCACCUGUUUCCUACCCUAAUUGCUUACCUACCUUGCAAUCAAUAUCACAAUUCUUUGUAUCUUUUCUUUCUUUUUAUAACUCUCUGUUCCUAUGGGAUUUUGUUUCUUUAUAACCUUCAUUUGAAGAACAAAUCCAUGUUUGAACCUAACACUUAGGGUUAUUUUUUUGACAGGGAUGAAAGAAUUAGGAUUUUUGCUCUUGCAAGAUAUAACUAGAUCAUCAAGCAUUUCAUUAUAUUUGCUGAGCCGAUACGAGCUUGAGUGAUAUUUGAGCAAAGUUUCUCUCAACUAAGGAUGUAAGCAAUACUUGUAUUAUUUCAUGUUUGUACUCUCAUUAGUAUUUUGAUAUUUUUUACGAAAUCCUUAGUGGUAACCAAAUGAGGAGAUAAGACCGUUCUAGAAAAAUGACUUGUAUCAUGACCAUUCCAGAAGAAUGGCUUGUAUUCAUGAAUUAUUAAUGCAAAUUUUACAAAUUGCAAGUUGACUACAUUGAUAAUACAUUGCAUUAAAGCCUUAGAAGAGCAAAAUAUGGGUAUAGCAAUGAUCAAUAUGAUAGACACCUAUUUUGUGGCAAAUGAUAUGGAUUAAGGUCCUGGAAAGACAAUCCAUUAACAUGUCAAUAUUAAAAUAAUGCACGCCUAAUACGUAGCAAAUUAUUUGGUUUAAAGUCCCAAAAGGACAAUUCAUUAACAUGUAUGUAUUAAUCUGUGGCAUAGCUGCAACAUGACAGAUAUAUGGGUUCUAAAUAUCUCAACUCUCUAAAUGGAGAUUAUCCACGCCCUAUUAUAAAAUAACACUCCAUUGGAGGUUAUGAUCUACAUUCUCACAUAAUUCAUCUUACAAGAGAUGUCUGUUUGGAAAAAAAAAACAAUACAAGCGCACCUGGAGUGGCUUGGGUACCCAAAAGCAAAGAAAUACUUAUAAUUGAUGCAAGCACAUGCACAUGAGAAUGGUGGGAUCACAAAUUGAUGAAUGACAAUUUUUGAUUUUAGAGUAGCUACUCAAAUCUAGGGGUGGGCACUCAAACCGGCGAACCGGAAAUCCGAGCCGAACCGUACCGAACCAAACCGAAAAAACACCGAGUUGACCAAAAAGUCAAAAACCGGUCAAAAACCGAACCGGACCGGUUUGGACCGGUUCCGGAUCCGGUUCCAUGUCUUCAAAAACCGAACCGGGCCAAACCGAACCGGUGAAACUAAAAAAAUAUAUAAUUUCAAUAUAUAUUUAUAUUUAAUGCUAUAUUUUUAAUUUCACUAAAAAAAACCUAAUAUUUAUCCAAGUUCAAUGUCAAAAUAUCUCUCUUUUCUUACUUUAAUAUUUAUUUUUUAUAUGAAAUUGAGUAAUUUGUUAAUUUUCAAGUAAAAAAAUAAUAUUUCAGUUGAGAAUUGUAUUAAAAAACAAUUUAAAAAAAUAAUUUUUAUAAUUCGGUUCAAAACCGAACCGAAACCGGAACCGGACCGAAACCGGUUCAAACCGAACCGGACAGUUUUUGAAAUUUUUUUUAUUAAAACCGAACCGAACCAAACCGGAUGAAUAGUACCAGAUCGGUUCUACUUUUAGGCAAAAACCGGUCCAAACCGAACCGUGCCCACCCCUACUCAAAUCAUCAAUGAGCUUUGUUGAUUGGAACCACGUUCUAUUAUUAAAUGUCGACAAAAUCAUUGGCUAAAAUGGAAAAAGGCCAUUCCAUUACAGAUCAGAAUGAACGUGGAAGAACAAACCUAUAGUAUGAACCCCAAAAAGAUGUUAGCAUUGCAGGUUAUACAUAGGUGUUCGAGAUAAAGAGUAAUACACUCACUUUAUAUGACACAAAUGUUUCUGGUAGAAACAAGGAAUAUUGAGGUUCUCCAUAUUUACACAUGCAAUCGUGGCUUCUUAUUGCAUAUUUACGGAGACCAACAUGCUAUCUUUAAGGGUUAUUAAAUGCAUGGAAGCAUAUCACUAGAAGUGAUUCCCUGAAGAUGUAUAAGAGGAAUAAAUAGCUGAGUAUAAAGCUAUAUUGUGUGUCAUGAAGUGUAAUCCCUUAAAUUAAAUACCUGAAAGAUUAAAAUUGGAUGAAGCAAGUCUUUAAAGGACACGUGCCUGAAACACAAAUUUGUACUCAAUAUUAAUAUGUACAAAUUGCCUCAGAGAGUACUUUGAUUGAAUUCAAAUUUAAAGAUGUUGCAACGUAUUCAAAUGUUUAAAGUUAUGGAAAAUAUUUAGACUCCUGAAGAGCCUACAAAGAAUAACAUAUGCAAUUAUUCUUAAAAUAUACAAAAAUAUAUAUGAAUGAUUGACUAUACCAUAUAAAGUUUCAAUACUCUUAUCAUUAUAAAUCUGAGUUUUUAUUUAUUUAUUUAUAUAUAUUGAAAAACCUAUGAAAUUAUUCAAGUCAUUGUAUGCAGUAAAAUAUUUAUAAAAAUAGCCUAGAUAUUGUUGUAUUAUUCUGACCUCAAUAGGGAUUAAAUAAAUGAAGACAUGCAUACAUCCUCCAAUGAUAGGGGUGGGCAUCAAUCCGGCCGAUCCGGUCAAUCCGGCCGAACCGAUUAUAUUGGAUUGGUUUGGUUUGGUUUUGACCAAAGAAAAAGUCAACAUUUUGAAAAACCGAACCGAACCGGUUUGGUUUGGUUCAGCUGUGGUUUGAGAGUUUUAAAAACUGUCAUAAACCGAACCGGACCGAUUAUAAAUUAAUUUAUUAUUUAUUUAAUUUAGUUUACAUGUGGCAAGGUUUGUGUGCGUUUUGUGAGUCCGCGUAUCUGAAUGUUGGUGCACGUUUUGAUCUUCUAAUUUGCAUAUCCCAGUUAUUUGUGUGUGCUUGUAUUUCCCUCUCUUUCUAUCUCUACUAUGUGUGUUUGCUCUUUGUGUUGUGUGGCUCUUCUUACUCUAUCUAUCUUAAUUAAUGGGUCCAUUUCAUAAUUUUAUACGCAUUCAAACUCCACCUCUGUGAUAAAAGUAUUUACCUCUCUGUGAUAAAAGCUUUUCAUUUGUUUGUAUUGUGAUGAAUGCAAUGAGUAAAUUUAAUGCAAAUUUUGUAUAUGUUUGUUUUGAUGAAAAUUGUGAACUUAGAUGCAUGCUAGACAUUGGACAACCUUUGAAUAAAUGGAAUGAUGUUGUAUUAGCCUUUGAUGGAAUGGAAUGGAAUGAUAUAAUGGCAAAAUGUUAGCAUUAUAAUGUAAGAGCAGGUUGAAAAAUGCAUGGUUUUGUGUUAGGCACAAACCGGCCGAACCAAUCCGAACCAAACCGAUUACAAGUGGUUUGGAUUGGUUCGGUUUUCAUUAUGAUUUUAGGCUAAUCCGAACCAAACCGGACCGUUAUUUUCUUAUUGGUUCAGCUGUGGUUUGAGAGUAAAAUCGAACCAAUCCGGACCGUGCCCACCCCUAUCCAAUGAUGCUACAAGAGCAAGUUUUAUACAGGCAUUACAAAAGCUCAAUCUGUGAAGGACGAAUGUGAUAGCAAUAUUAGACCAUCAAAUAAUCCAUGUAUGGAGUUAUCAAGGAGAGUAGUUCUUUAGGGGGAGCAUCCAACAAUGUUGUAAUAUUGAUUCACAAAAGUAGUACCAAUUAUGACAUUCAUAGAAAGUAAACAAUACGGCUUAAAAAUAUUUUUGCUAAGCAUUAAGGAGAGCAUGCAGUCAAUAAAGAUAAUGUCGCAUGUGUGUCAGGGUUAUACACAGUUUUAUGUUACACAUGGUUAUGUACUUUUUUUUUCAUUUCGACCAGUUUUUGUCUCACUGGGUUUGACUGGCAAGGUUUUUAAUGAAGUAUAGUCCAUGCAUGGUAAACAUCCAGGAGAGUUGUAAAUCCAUGAUAAGAUGGAUGCCCACCAUAUCUACAUACGCCAUGUAAUACCUACCUCUCCCAUUACACCUUUGUGAUGUAAUUGAAACCUACCACUUAGAACAUCCACAAUAGGCUCCCUAAAUCACCUCCUUAGACAAAUUUUAGGAAGGAAUCGUAAAAACGCAACUCCAACCACGCUCCCCAUCCACCUCCUAAAAUAGGAAGUCCUCUAGGAACUCCUAAAUCUGAGGAGAGAGAAAAGACUCUUAGUGACUCCCUAUAAUUUAAUGCUGCUUUAUUUAAUGAGUAUUUCAAACCUUUAUUUAAUUCUAAUUAUUUUUUAUUUUAUUUUUUAAUAGAGAUGGGUCAAUCAAAAAAGAGUUAUAGCAUUUAUGACUCUCCAAAUUAAGGAGUAUGGUUGGAGUUGAAAUUUUUUAGAGAACUCCUAAAAUAGCUUUCUUAUAUUUUUAGCUAAAUUUUAGCUAAGAAAUGAGAACAUCAUUGUGGAUACUCUUACGUAGUAAACUAUGUAUUUCCUAUGCCUAUAAAUAGACACCAAAGAUAGAUGAAAAAUACACAAGACUAGAUGAGUGAAAACUCAUGAUUAAUCUCUUGAGAAAUGUUCAUCCAAAUUUCUCUCCAAAAUCCUCUUAAUUCUAUAACAUUUUUAAAAUUUUAGUUUGGUCCUCAUGAUUUUCAUCAAAAUAUGACAAGGCGCUCUUUCCCUGAACCCACCCCGACAGCUCCACCAGGAUCGUAUCUACGAAAUACAUUCACCCUCACCCGAACUUCUUCCCAGUUCACCUUAGACAUAAGCAGUUUCGAAAGAGUUCGACAACAUGGGUUAAAGUCAAACACAAAACAUCAGCCCAUGUGGAACGGUCUAUAAAAAAAAUGAUACAGUUGAGUUCCAAGGUGAGUCGUCCUUUUUGGGGGUAACGCGAAAAUUGGACCAUUGUUCCAAAGAGCACUAGCAUAAUUAGGCCUUGCCAAAAUACAUUUACAGGGUAACAGAUCAAACUAAAUAACCAAUAGUUUUAUACAGACUCUUCAUAAACAUCAAGACCCAUCUUAUAUUACAACAGAGCCAAGGCUUUAAACAUAUACAUACCUUUUCUCCAGUUUGACACACUUUCGUGAUGUUCCAUCAAACCUCUAGCAGCGACAUUAGCAAUGAGAUGAUCACCAACAAAAGCACAUAUCCUAUAUACAAUACUAAUUGAUCUCAGUUUCUCCAAAAAUUAUCAAAACUCCCUCCUCUUGUUAAUUCUGCUGAAUUUGUGAGCUGUGAUGGCAUUUAGCUCUUCUAUGUACACUUCUUUCAAUGAAGUUUAGGCAAAUGCUGGGAUGCUGGAAUUUUGGCGAUCCCUAUUGAGACAAUCAAAUCCCUCUACUCUAACUGCAGCAGGUUUAAGUCCGUACUUCAUUCUAACACAACCUGCUUUGCGUGGGGACGAUAAAGUAGAUGGGGAUGGAGAUGCCGAAACAGGAGUAAACUUCUCAUCUCCGAAUCGGGCAUCUUGAAUUAAUGGGUUAGAAGCCCUACUGGGAGGGGAGCCACAAAAAUAUGGGGGUGAGGAGGCAACAUCGUUCAAAGAUUGUUCCAAUCCAUAGCCCUCCUGUAGACACCAACAUGUUAGUCAAUCAAAAUACCAUACAUCCAAUACAAAACCAUAACAUUACAGAAUCAAUCUAAACAAUCACAUCUAUAAUAUUUUGAAAAUUGGAAAAUGACACAUUGUUGAAAGCAUAAUUUAUGUCUAUCCUAUAAAAGAUUAAUUUGUUUAAAGUUUAAACUUAAGAUAAAGUUCCCAUGAAAGAAUUCUCCAAAGAACAGACAGGCAGCAAAAGAUUAAGUCAAGGGAUCACCAUGGUUGCUGCAUUGGAAAAAAAUAAAAAACAUUGUUUUGCAACAGAUAUGAUACACAUUUUAUUUUAUAAGGGAAAGAAAAAAACACAAAGAUUAAAUCAAUUGCAGCUCCAAUUAAUUGCCUCUGCGCAUUAACUGCAGCCAGAUUAUCAUCAACAUAAUAUCAAUUAAUCAUAAGGAAACGAAAUAACAAUUUACCUUCCUGAGAAUGAGGUCCAGAAGCUCUGCCCCAGCUUUUGAGUCACUAAACUCAGAUUGAUGACUGCUGAUUACAAAAGAAAAUUGUUAUCAGCUAAAAACAAGCAGAAAAGUAAAAUAAGGUGGGAAGGACAGCAUCGGUUAAAAGAGGUACCUCAUCUGCCAUCUCAAGGGCCUAAUGGGGCUGUUGGACAAAAUCCCAACUCGCCUAGGCUUGGGGCACACCACAGGGUCCUUGGUAUCAGAGAUAAAGGCAGACCCUCUGACGUCUUCACAGCCCACAUAAGAGGCGUUCUGGUGCUGAACAUUGAAAUGGUUCAUUUUCGAAACCGUUUCUGUUCCACAAAAGAACGCCUGUCCAUAUUACAGACAACACCAUCAGAAAAGAAAACAAAAAGCAGAUAAACUUCCCCAGAAAUAUUCCAAAUCCAUAGAAAAUCUUAAAAUAUUGUUUCACAGAGUUGAUCUCCAUUUAGUUGCAAAAUAAAAAUGACCAAAAUAAUGAAUCCGAGUCAGACACGCAACAUGUUCUAUACAAAUGAGCAUAGAAUUUCAUGAAACCAAAAUAACUUGGAAAGAAACACGCACAAAAACAAAACCCGUAAACUUUAUCCCCUAUUGGUUUGAUUUAUUCUUCUAUUUUCUAGCCAAUCAAACAGAAAGACAGAAGAUGCGGUCGAUUUCACAACAGAUCUAAGUCACACCUUCGAAAAAUCGGAGCUUUCCUCCGUCACAUACACCAACUUCAAAACAACACCACCCAAAAAGCCGUAAUGGUUCACAUCAAAACCUAAGCUGAGACGGCUUCGACACCAUUUGGAAGUCGCCCAAAAUCGCAGAAGAAGUGGGGGUUUUAAAUUGGUUUUAGCAAAUAGUAAAUACAGCUCAAACUGAUUUUACACAACAAAAUUUGACCACAAAACUUAGCCUUCACAAAAAUUACGAAAGGUAAUAUAGAAAAUGAAUAAAUAAAUUACAACGACGAACAUUUGACUCGGAUCUGUUACACAACAGUUUCCGGGAAAUAGACUAAAAAUAGGAAAUUAAUAACAUCCAAAUAUUCAAAGCAAUAGAUCUAAAACAAACAGAAGCAAAGCUACUAUGAUUUUUGCAGAGAGAGAGAGAGAGAUACCUGAAGAGAAUCCUCCGUAGGAAGAAGGAAGAACGCAAAGGGAGGUCAGAGCCACAAGGAAGAAGCGAAGAAAAGGGAUCUGGAAUUCAUUUUAUACUGGUGAAAGUAGAGUCUUGCCAAGGCUGACACCACGCCAUUUAAUCCACGUGAUUUUUUAUCUGAAUCCGCGUGAAUUUGUUGUGAAACACUGAAAAUGGAUUUUGGUUUCACGUAUUUGUGACUGCUGGAAAGAGUCAAAUUUUUGUCUAUUUUUUCUUAAUUCUUUUUUGUGCCAAACUUCUUAAUUCUAAUUUGGGUUAACGACAUUUUACUCCCUACAUGUUCGGGAUCAUUAUCAAAAUAGGCCACGAGGUUUCAAUUUCAUGAAUAUCAAAUUCAACGUUUUUAAAUAUGACUAAAUUACACUUUUCAUCAACUUAAUCGUUUAAUUUUUUGUAGGCUUAAAUACUAAAAUGGUCUUUGUGUUUUAUUAUGUUGGCCAAUUUAGCCCCUGUUUUUUCAAUUUAACUAAUUUGGUUCAUGUGUUUAGCACCGUUAGCCAAUGUGAUCCAAUUCGUUACACUUUUGUUAAAAUAUUAAUUAAAAAUAAAUAAAUAUUUUGAAUUCAAUUUUAAAAAUAAAUAAUCAAGAAAUAAAAAUAAGAUUUAAAAGCUAAAAGAAAUAAAAAUAUGAUUAAUCUUAACCGCAACACCCUUCUCUCUUUUCUUUGUCCCCCCAACAACCAUUGGUAGACCCACAGAGGAUUAAGGAGGUGCAGCUGCACCUCCCCUAACCGAAAAAUGCAUUGAAGAUGCUGGAAUUUUGCCCCUUUAUUUGUGCCUACCAAGUGUUCAAUUAAAUGCCACAAACAAGCUUUUGUGUUGCUAUUGUGUGAGACCCUAAAUAUUUACCUUAGAUUGUUGGGCUUGAUAUCACGAUCAUGUAGGAGAAUCGAUUCAUCAAUUAGAGAAUGUUUGUAGUUACAAUCCCAUGCUUCUCAACUUUAAUUCCUUUUCAAAAUGGGCCACUAGCAAGGCGCCAUAUGUCAAAUUUUAACUAGACCAACUUCAAAAAUUCUUUAAAAAUUCAUAUGUGCUCCGAAAAAAUCACCGAAAAUUACCCCGAACUUGUAAUCACAUGUACUUUUAUCUCAUGACCUCCAAAUCACAUGUAAUUUUGGUUAGAUUAAUUUUUAUUGAUUUUGGUUAGAUUCAUGGAUGAUUUCAUAUGAAUUUUGGUAAACUAAUUGUGUAAUUGACAUGGAUUUUGUUCAUAUUUGAUAUGAAUUUUGGUAAACUAAUUGUGUAAUUGACAUGGAUUUUGUUCAUAUUUGAUAUGAAUUUUGGUAAACUAAUUGUGUAACAUAAAUUUUGUGCAUAUUAGUUUAUAUACAAAAUAGAAUGUAGUCAGUUAGCCUUAGACAUAAACUCUUAUUUAUUUUAAUUAUGAAUAACAUUAGUAUUAUUUAAUUUGUAAGGGUAUUUGGUUGUCUAAUUUUUUUUUCCCCCUUUUAGUCUUUUUAAUAUUGCCCCACUCUUGAAAAAUUCAUGGAUCCACCACUGUACCACCCCAACUACUAUCCCCACGCACACCCAAAAGCCCUAACUUCUCCAACCACAACCACACCACACUCGAAAUCUAAUCCACCCCACCCCAACUACUAAUCCACCCUACCUCUCACCCAGAUCUAAUCCACCCCAACCCAACAAUUCCCUCGCCAUUCUUUUAUCCCAGUUGCGCCGCCUAAAUCUUCCCAGCGCACUCUGCCACGCGGUCGUCACCCUACUCCCUCAUGCCCAUCUUGGUUUUCUUUUUCCUUUUUUCUAAUGAAGUUGCAAUUUUUUUUUUUUUUUGGAAUGAAUUCAAUUUUUAUAAAUUAAUUUUAGGUUUUCAAGAGAAGAAGAAGAUUAUCAUAUUAUUUAAUGGCAAUUUUAACAGAAUGGACUACAUUGACUAACAAUGCAAAACACACAGACCAAAUUGGCCAAAUUGAAAAUGCAUGUAUUAAACUGGCCAACGUGAUAAAGCACAAAGACUAUUUUAGCAUUUAAACCUUAUUUGUUAAAUUAAUGACGUGGAGAAUGAGUUCUAUUAAACUAGUGACAUGGCAAUUAAGAUACCCACUUUAAUACUGAUGUGUAAAAAAACAAAUUUAAAUAUUUAAAUAUUUCCCCCCAACAACCUAGCAAAACGAGGAGGGUGAUACUGAUCCAAUAUGAUGCAGUAGCAUCAACCUCCGUCAGUACGAUCAUUUGUCCUUAAAGGGUUGCUUUUGCCGGAUUGAUGGUGGUUACCGUGUAUGUCACGCUUGCCACUACUGAAGGUAUGCUAGUAGCCAUCCUUCCUCUUGGGGUGCUGGGUACCCUGGUUAUCUGGAGCGGGAGCAGAAUGCUGAUGUGUGGCUGGGGUGGGUGCCGAAGCAGAUGGGGGAUCACCAAAAGUGUUACGUGCCGAGGUGAUUGGGCCACGUUUUGGAGUUAAAGUACUCAGUCUUAGCAUGGAUCGCGACCUACUUCAUGAGUUUGGCAUAAGUGUUCCAUGGGUUGCUGUGGACCAAGUAGCGGAAGUUGGAUUCGCGGAGACUACUCUUGAAAGCUCUGAAGGCAGCUCGAUCGUUGGUAUCCGGGCAACGAGAGUACUCGUGGCUGAAGCAGGCUGCAUACUCCCAAAGAGGUUCGUCCUCACCAUGCCGAAGCAUAUACAAGUCAUCCACGGAGUACAAGGGAUCGGUUUGGAUGAUAAAGUAGUCGAGAAAGGUAUUCUUCAGACUGUCAAAGGAGUUGAUAGUACGGGGGUUCAGCCGAUAGAACCAGUUCAGAGCAGCGCCACUGAGGGUAGAAGGGAAAAUGAGAUACAUGACUUUGUCACUGAGGCCCUUACAUUCGAAGGCAAACUAAAAAGAAUGGAUAUGGGUGAGAGGAUCCUCCGUGCCAGUGUAGAACGCUAUGCGGAGCGGCUGAAUGUCCUUAUCCUGGUGAUAAUUGAGGAUACGUUCAAUAAAGGGCCCAGGGCAUGGCUUCACCCAGAGGGGUUGCUGGCUGCGGUGCUGCUCACUCUCAAGACAUCCGACCUUCUCCAAGAGAAGCCUCAUGACCGGGUUGGCAUAAGGGAGAAUGCUGAGUGCUGAAGGCUUGAGGUGUGGAUGGGCAGGGAUUGGGUAAACUUCUCACUCUUCAAACACUUCAGUAUGGUAAGACUCUCAGUCAGUCAUCUGGACGAUAAGGUUCCUAGUCAUCCGAAUCCCCUGCACCUUCUCUGGCGGGUAAUUUGGUGGGCUUCGGUGGGGGUCGUAGGUGUGUCACCCAUGGGUCAUUGAGGUCAACAGGAAUAUGGAUAGGAUUUGGCUGAAGGUCCGAGAAACGGUCCCUACAAUCCCAUAGAUCUUUGUCGGUUCAUGGGGCCAGUCUUUUGGUGGGGAGAUGCAAAGGAGCCGCGACUUGGUCGUCUCCGGAUGAAGGUGGCAUUUACUCUUGCCUAGCCCAGACUGGAUUGAGGUGCUGUGACUAGAUAUCACUGGUUGGUUCGGCUGGGAAUGCUUAAUAUCCUGGGUAAUGUCCUGUUGGGCGCCCUAGGGGUAGGUCCUCUCCCAGUUAUGCUUCAGGGUGCCACAAUCAUGCCCCAGUUCGACGUUCUUGGUAUGAAGAUGUUCGUAUUUCUCCAACAUUUUGGCAACACUGGUAUGGAGGCGCUCUACUUUUGCCUAGAGAUUGAUCUCCGUCGAAGGUUUCUUUAGGGAGGUAUCCCCGCGAAGGGUAUGGUGCUGGGUAUUGUGGCUGGUCUCACUCGGCAUAGCAGGGGUGAAGAAGAGGCGACAUGGCCUGAUGGGGGAGGGAGCCAACGGGGCUGGUAGAGGGAAAUGAGAUUCCGAAGUCGAUUCCCAUAGAUGACGCCAAACUGUUGAUGCUCUUUUUAGGAGGGUCAACUUAGAGAAGGGCAGGAUCUUUAGUAAGGGAGAAGGUGAAGACCUUCGGAGUUGGAAGAACCUACAGAAGACAAGGAGGAAAAAGCAGUCGUCAAGCUUCGGACACCAGUGUGGUGUCCGCCGAAGGCUCUCCGAUGCUUAAGUAAGUUAUAUGUGAUAAUUUUGACAAAGUAACAGUAAAUGUGAGAAAUUAGUUACCCUUUUUACUCGGGUACUGUUCCUUAUUUAUAGGGAAGUGAAAAUGAGAGUUUUGCACAAAGUUUCAAAGUAGGACUUUGUGCAAGUUGCUGUGGUAGUGACAUGUGUCCUUGGAGGUUAGGUUUGGCAGUUGGAAGAUUUGGCAGUCGGGAGUUUCGGCAGAUGUCUGCCGCUCCGGAAGAGUGUCUUCCUUCGACAUUUCGGAAGGUGAUGACGUCUGUCACUUUCUCGGGAUUUGUCUGUGUGUCCCUUUGGGGUAUUUCAGCAAGGAAGAAGGCCUGUCUGCCUUGAUGCUAGUCUCUUUGGCAUUGGAUAUGCUCUGUUGAUUAUGGUGUAAACACAUAGUAUUAUUAUAUUACAACUUCUAGAGCACACAAGUUUGACUUCUAGAGCGUACAAGUUUGACUAAGUCUUGCCCAUAUUAGAUAAUAUAGAUAAUACAACAAUAGAAGAAGUUGAUAGGGGACUUGAUUCUGUGUCCAUAGAAGACAUAAAUAGACCCAAUCAAAAAAGAAAAAACGGAUACAAAUAGUUAACAUGUGUUAUUGUUGUUCUUGAACUCUAGCCAUGUUUACAGACCAUGAGUAGAUUAUGGAUUGUAUUGGAUUGGAAAGGAUAAAUAUCAUUUAUUAGCUCCCGUAUCUUGAGUUUGAGAUUAGGAGAUUGGAGUAAUGGGAUUAUGUAUGCCACCUUUUUGGUAGAUUAUCCUACAAAAAUGCACAUAAUAUGAUUACGGUGAGAUUAUCCUUUAUCUUAUCAACAUUCAUUUUCACCAACCCACCAAAUAAGGCAUCUAGAAUUUUCUUCCUUUUCUUCUUUAACUAGGAUACCAUGUAACCCUAUGUGGCCUAUUUCUGGCCUUUUAUGCCGAAAUUUCUUUGGCAUUUUGUGAUCUAUAUAUGGAUUAACCCUAUAUUGUUACUAUGUUUCUAUAUUUGUAUUACCCAUUUGUGGGCAUUUAUAUUUGCCUUAGUGACCGAUAGUCUUUGUACCUAAUGUAUGAAUACAAUUACUGCUUUUUUCUCAACAACAAAAAAUAAAAUAAAAUAAAAUGGAUACCACAUAACAUAAUUUGUUAUUGUUAAUGAACCGUUUCAAUUGUAUGGCUCAAAUUGUCAAUUUCUCGUACUUUUUUUUUGUGUUGGAAAUCAAUUACUCGUACUUAGACCAAAUGGUCGACGCCUUUGAAAAUUACAAUCUGACGUACCAAACCUUCCCACUGAUAAUAACACGGCCAAUUUGGUCCCAUUAUUUAUUAUUUAUUAUUUAUUGUUGAAUAUUUCAGAUAAAGCACUCCCAAUCAGAUCGGAUCUCCAACUCUGCAGCCAACACGUGCUCUUUUAUUUUUUUUUAUUUUUUUGCUAAGUCAGAUUCUCAUUUGGUUAGGAUUUCUUUUCGGGCCCUCUAUUUUAUUUAUCUUUCUUUAUUUUAUUAUUUGAUUCAGAAAAACAAAACCAACAUGGCGUUGAAACUGGCAAAGCCUUACAGGCGCCACCCUUUUCCACUCGACGGUACUUGAGUUAGCUUAGAACACUAUCUCAUUCUGAUAUUGGUCUUUUUGGUUUUCUGUCUUUCUGGUUUUUCACCUUUAAAAGAAACUCUGUUCGAAACGUUUCAGAGCAGUUGAGGGCCAAGUUUUGUUUCCUAACAAAGAGAAAAAAGAGCAUAGAAGCAAUGGCGCCCAAAAAGAGGCUGCAAGGUGUUGAUGACAAAUUGCAGAAGCUUCUGGAUGCUAACAUGGAUGAAGCUCGUGCCAGAAGGCGGGCUCGUGAGGCCUUCAAGGAAAUUCAGCUGGGGAUUGACCAUAUUUUGUUCAAGGUAUUGUUUUCAUAUGUUCCAUUUGAAUUUGAAUUUUUUGUUUUUGUUUUUUGUUUUUGGGAACGUGAACUUUUGGGUUGUUUAUGGUUCCAGCGAGUUGUAAUUUGAGAGAUUGCAAUUGGGUUUUGUAGUGGGUUGAUGAUUAUUGGCACUGAAACUUUUUAAUGGGUUAAUGGGAAUCGGUGGUUAGUUGAGGAAUGAACUAUUUUUCACGUUGAAUUUUCAUUGACAUAACUUUUUUUAUUAUUAUUAUUUUUUAAAGAUUUGCUUCUGAACUGAUUUUAUGCAUUUUUACAGUCCACACAGCCACACACAUAUAUUCAAAUUGGCUAUGCAUACUAUUUUUCUUUGGUUUUUGGUCAUCUUUCUGAGAUAGUAGUUCAAGAUGUUAUACAAUAUUCAUUCUUGCUGUCUUUUAAUUACACUCUUGGAAUAUUUUCUCAGUAAUAUUUAUUGUUUUAUGUUUGGUUGUGUUGCAGACACCCACUGAUGGAUUGAAAAUAGAGGAGGUAAAAACUCUUUAUUACAGCAAUCAACUUACAUUUUGUUUUUUAUUGGUACAAACGGCUUUUGGGUGCGAGAAAUGCAGUGGAGUGAUAUGCCAGUCAAGGAAUUAUAUGCCUAUGCUGUGUGUGUGUGUGUGUGUGUGUGUGUGUCAUUUCUUUGUAUUUUAAUUUUUAAUAUUUUGUGCAAACCUGUACGCCAUUCUUAUCUGCAAUUUUUUUUUUCUCAUCUAUCUUAUAUUGGUUCAAGAUAGUAUUCUAGCAUCCAACCCAAAACCAGUUCAUAAUGGGUAGAUACCAAGAUCUUGUAUACUAUGGUUCAAAGCUUGACAUUCCUAAUGUGGGAUGUAUACUCUCGACAUGCCCCCUCAUGUCUGGCGUGGUCCAACAUGUGAAAAAACUUAUAUUAGGUGACGUGGGAGCACAUGUGGUAAUCAGGGACUGACACGUGGAUGAACUCUAACACUGAUAAAAUUAGACUAUGCAGUAUUUAUACUCUCACCAGGUCCAGUAUGAGAAGGUUUGUUGAUCAGUCAUACAUUGAUCUAUACCCAUGGGCAGCUUGAGAGUUACUAACACUUCUCCUCUGAAUUCAGUUGUGGCCAUUUUUAACUAUACUUGUAAGUGGUAUUGUUUCUGCAAAAUUAGCUGUCAUGUAUCAUGCUAGGUUAAGGUGUUCAUAAGCAUUGGUGCUCGCUUGUUAGAUUUCCAAAGUUUCUGCUCACUACUUUUAAUAUGAACAUGGUCUUGGCAAAUUCUAUUGUGCAGUCAUAUGAGGUAAACUCCAGGGGAUUGGAGAUCUUCUGCAAAAGUUGGCUUCCAGAGGCAUCUUGCCCCAAAGCAAUAGUGUGUUACUGUCAUGGUUACGGAGAUACUUGCACUUUUUUCUUUGAAGGCAUGUAACCUGUCAUAAGAUAAUAGUGUUGACCAAAUUGCAUUGUUAGUCAUGCACUGUAGUGGAACCUAAUAAUUUCAUAAUUUCUGCAGGAAUUGCGAGGAAGUUGGCGUCAUACGGAUAUGGAGUUUUCGCAAUGGAUUACCCUGGAUUUGGUCUUUCAGAAGGCCUUCAUUGCCAUAUUCCCAGCUUUGACAUUCUUGUAGAUGAUGUCAUUGAGCAUUACUCCAAUGUCAAAGGUAUGCUAGCAUAGUUAUUAACCUUCCUGUUAGUACUUUCGAAUGUGAGAAUUGUUGAGCUGAAGGUGAGGAUUAGGAUAUUUAGACAGGAGGCGGAUUGCAUCCUUGUGCAGUCACUGAGUCAGCUGGCCAACCAUCUUGGUGCAUCAAACAUGCACUAGGUUGGCAGAUGAGAAGCAUGAACCGGAAAAAUCUAAGUGCUGGAUGAAGUCUUAGUAUUAUUUUUACCCUGUGGCCAUCUUGUCAACCUUACCACCAUUUGGGACAGUAAUGGGAUAAUCAUAUAAUAGUUAAACAAAGCAGAGUUGGAAACAAUUUGUAAGCUUUCUAGAAGUAGAGCCUAUGGCCUCUUUUUAAUCUAUAUUUUUCAGUCUCUGCUUGCUUUCCUUUAGGAAUGUUAUAGAAGAUUGAGGCAAGGAGGUCCUCUUCAUUGCCUCUCACUGGUCAUAAGAAACCUCAGUUUCCUGAUGCUUGAGGUAAUGUGGAAUUCAUUUGAUUUUGGAAGUUUAUUUAGCACUUAUCAGCGUUUGGAAUUUUAUGAGGGACCUAGUGUUUAGGUUUCAUCUUGCCUUCCUCCUACUUGCAAGUUUCUCCUGGGGUGGAUUGUUAAUUAGACCCAGCUUUUGGGUCAAAGUAGUAUAAAGGUCAUCAUCCUACCAUCACUGUCCCAUAAAAGAAGAUCCUCUCUUCCAUAAAUGGUUACGCUCAAUUUUUGAAUAUAAAAGCCUAUAAUUGUAGCAUCCUGUCCCAUAAGAAGAUCCAAAACGUACUUUGAAGUUCCUAUCAUAUAUUGGUCAAUCUGUGCUUUAUUGUGAGUUGGAAAGGAAGUUGGAUUGAUGAGGAUCCAAAGAGUAUGCAAUUGUCACUUGGUUACUUGUAGGAGAAUAGAUAUCUUGACAUAACAGUGACAGGAAAUAGAACUUUAGAAGGAGAGUAUCCAUAAUGGAAAGUGCUCCCUUUUGCAGUGAUGUUGGGAUUGAGAGAACUGGGUUGUAGCAACCAAAAGACUGUCAACUAUUUUAGGUGAGGAACUGUUGAUGACAGAUACCAUCUGCAGUUUUCUCCAUCAGAGGAUGAGUGGAAUAUUGUGUUUAUGUGACUAUAUUCUUUCCAAAGAGUUAAGACAAAGAUUCCACCAUAAUCUUGUUCUUGAUGGAAAGUUCCCCAAAGUGAGCCAACCAAAUUUUCCAAGUCGCUCAUGAAUCCUUUUAGUGACCAGAUGAAGCAAUAUAUAUAUAACCCCAAAAAUAAAAGAAGCAAAAUGAUGUGGAAACAAAUUUUCAAGGGAAGUUUUUCUCUUGACGGACUGUACCUCUUUGGAGCUACUUAUUCUUUCUAGUUUGCAUCUGGGUUCAAUAAUUACACCUCUUGGCUGGGGAUGAAGUUUUUUCUUCAUCUUUUUCAUCCAAACUUAUAAUAAAGUGAGAGAGACUAAAAGAUCUGUACACAAUCUGUUGUGUUUAAUGUGUGUCUAUUCUUUUAACAAUAACAUAACCAAAAUGCCAAUCUCAGUUUAAUUCUUGAUAUUUACAUAAGUCGAUUUGUACUGCAGAGAACCCUGAGUUCCAUACUCUUCCAAGCUUUCUCUUUGGACAGUCCCUGGGUGGAGCUGUAGCAUUGAAGGUUCAUCUAAAACAACCUAGGGCAUGGAAUGGCGCAAUACUUGUUGCACCAAUGUGCAAAGUAAAUUCUGCUUGACUGUGUUAGCAACAAUGUUUUUCUUUGGUUUUUACCUUCUUUUAACAGAACAGUGUAUUUUCUCUUUUUUGUUUUUCUAGAUUGCAGAUGACAUGGUUCCACCUUGGGCAUUAACACAAAUCCUGAUUGGUGCGGCUAAGUUCCUUCCAACGAAAAAAUUAGUUCCACAAAAGAACCUGGCCGAGGCAGCAUUUAAAGACUUGAAGAAAAGAGAAAUGGUUUCUCUCUUUUCUUUUCUAAAUAAUUUAAAGUAUUUAAAAGCAAUGAUGUUCUGGGAAAAGUCAUAAACCUUGUUUUCCUUCCUAGACAUCAUGACAAAAUGAAAACUUUCAAGCCAUUGUGGGAGAUCUUAUGUUUAAAAGAUGUGUGGUGUUCUUUAUGUCGUGAUUUCAUGUGCCAUUUCUUUUAGUCUUCUUUUUUAAAUUGUGGCUUUAAAAUUGCCCUUUUCCUGAAUGCAGACAGCGUAUAAUGUUAUUGCUUACAAGGAUAAACCACGCCUGCAGACUGCUGUGGAAAUGCUCCGAACAACUGAAGAGAUAGAACGUCGACUGGAAGAGGUAUGCCAAUUUCAUGACUUCUCUUUUAUUACAGUCAUAUUCUGAAUCAACUGGACUAACCUCUAAAAUUUCUUUGAUUGCGUUAAAUUCUGUCCAGUCUAUUCAGCAUGCACCUUUUUCCCUUAAUAUGUGUUGUCUUGCUGCGUAUUUUCUGAUACUUUUUCUUUGUUCUUUGAGGCCGUGAACAGUUGAGGCAUUUAUAGAACUAGAUGGUAAUUCUUAUCAGCUUAAUUCACUGAUGUUUGGGUUUAUCUGAAUUUGUAACUUCAACCCAGUACAGUUGGAUUGAGUUAUAAUCCAAAGGAUAAAAAUGAUUUUUAUAUGCAUCAGAUAUGACCUACAUCUCUUGUACUUCAGGACUAGUGAUAUGAAGUGGCAGAAGACAUACAUCGUAACCCCACCUAAACCUUUUUUUCAUAUUCAGUUUUUGGAAAUCUAUAUGGUUCAGCAUUUGUUUUGUGAGGUUCAGGUUGUGAUUUAUUUCUUGUUAUCUGAUGAAGAUUUUGCUGUGAGUUUAUAUUCGGAAAUCGUGCUCGCCCUGAAAAGUCAGUUGAUUUCAGUAUAGUUUAGCACCAGCAGUAUCUAGAAUUGUAACUUUAUUAGGUUACUUAUAAUGGUUAUCGUUACAGGUCUCUCUUCCCCUAUUAAUCCUACAUGGAGAGGCUGAUAUUGUAACUGAUCCAUCUGUAAGUAAGGCCCUGCAUGAGAAAGCAAGCAGUUCUGACAAGAAGCUCAUCCUUUACAUGGAUGCAUAUCAUUCCCUUUUGGAGGGUGAGCCAGAUGAAAUGAUAGUUCGAGUUUUUGAUGACAUCAUUUCAUGGCUCAAUGAGCACAGUGAAAAAUUUACGGGCAGCUAGCUACUCUGCACAUCUGUGGGCACCUGCAAUCAUGUUCUUCAUGUUUGCUUCCGAAAAGGGUAGGGGAACAAAAGGGAAAGGAGCAUUGGAUUGGAUGUGUCUAUUGUGAUGUACAGAUUUUUUUGGUGAAUAACAUUGGAUUAGUGUAUGAUUUAUGGCACACAAUUCAAAUAAACUUUAGGUUUCAAAGUCUUUCUCUUGAUUAACAUGAGCUGGGAGGCUGAAGCUUUUGGAUGUUGACCCGUUGUAAUUUGAGAUUUCACAAAGGAACAUUUUCUUUUCCU